GUGUCAGCCGCCGCGGUAAUACGUAGGGUGCAAGCGUUAAUCGGAAUUACUGGGCGUAAAGCGUGCGCAGGCGGUUCUAUAAGACAGAUGUGAAAUCCCCGGGCUCAACCUGGGAACUGCAUUUGUGACUGUAGAGCUGGAGUGCGGCAGAGGGGGAUGGAAUUCCGCGUGUAGCAGUGAAAUGCGUAGAUAUGCGGAGGAACACCGAUGGCGAAGGCAAUCCCCUGGGCCUGCACUGACGCUCAUGCACGAAAGCGUGGGGAGCAAACAGGAUUAGAUACCCUGGUAGUCC
rnacentral:rRNA from 1 species